AAAGGGAUCGCCUGUCACACUUUGGGUGAAUCACCCUGUAUAAACUAAGAAAAAGUAUUAAAAUUUGCAAAUAUUGAAUAUGACUUAUGAAAGAAAGUGAAUGAAUAUUAUAUUGUAUAUUAUUACAGCUAUAUAAAAUAAUUUUUUGAUCGAAAGUAACAAAUUUAUAUAGGUCAAAAAGUUUAAAUCCUAAUCAAACUUCACAAUACCAUUGCCCUUAUUCACACAAAUACAGUAUAAUGAGUCAAGAGUUUGAACAGGGACGAAAGAGAUUUUUGGACACUCCUCUAUUCUCUCAAGUGAAGAAAUUGAAUAUGACAAAUUGUAGACAGAUUUUUAAAUGGCUAUUUAAAAGCCAUUUAAAAAUCUGUCUACACUUACAGUGGCGUAUUCAGGGGGUGCUUUGGGGGCAUAUGCCCCCCUUAAAAUAUGUUAAUGAAAAUUAUUACAUAUAUAGUGUUCUUUAUUAGGAGAUCAGACGGACUCUACAAUAGAGGUUUAC
rnacentral:lncRNA from 1 species